CUGAAUUUUUGUCAUCUUCUCCCAUGUCUUCAGUUUUAUAAUCGCCCUGUUCAUUUAAUGGGUUUUCUUCCUUAGGAGAGUCAACUUUUGGUUUUGGUUGUGUCACAAUGGGCUCACAGACAUUGUUCAACUCUUGAAGCUUUGCCUUAAUUUCAAAGGAACGCACAGCUGGAUCCUGAUCUAAGCUCUUCUUAGCCUGGGCACUCACAGCAUUGUUCAUCCACUCUAUCACUUCACUCACACACUUCUCUACUUUCAUCAUUUCCAUUUCAUCAAUAUGGAUGUAUUUUUCAUCUUUAUUCCUGAAUUCCCCAGCUAUCGCAGCGUAAUACUGGAGCCUGUGUCCCAGUUCUUCUAAUAGCUUUGGUCGCUCCUCUGCUUCUUGAUAGCGCAUUUCAAUUGGAGUACCUAAUUUCUUUAAAUCCUCUAGUUUGUCUACAUACACCUGCUUAGCUUCAUC
rnacentral:lncRNA from 1 species